GGGUUUAUAUAAUCUCUUUAAAUCUUAUGCGUCUUCUGAUGUCUGCUUCAAAUUGCUAUAUAUAUUCAUCUUUCAUUGCUACUAACCGCAUCAGCUAUUGACUUCAUCUGUAAGAAUCUCUUCUUCUUCUUCUUUAAACUGUGUGCUUUCAUAUUUUUAGUCUUUACUCGUUCUGUUUCUGUAGAUUUUGUAACAAGAUUGAUCGGGAGCCAUGGGUGAUGCAAAGGAGGUGAUUCUUGUAUUAUUUGUUUCUGUGGGCUGAUCCAUCUGUAGAACUUGAAAACCUUAUUGAUUGAUUCCAUUAUGUUUAUGAUUUCAGGGAACGAGUGAAAUGAUGUCUGCAAAACAGACCAAUGAGAUUGUGAUUGACGAAAAAACAACAAAUGAAAUUGUGUCUGAUAAAGAGACCAAAGAGAUCGUGUUGUCUGAGAAUACAACAAUUGAUGAAGAGAUCUUGUCUGUGAAGAAAACACAGGAAAAUGUGUGUGAAAAAGAAACAAAUGAGACUCUGCUUGAGCAGACGGCCAAGGAAACAGUAUCCCAGAAAAAGCCUAUAGUUGUAUUUGUUUUAGGUGGUCCUGGAGGGGGAAAGACCACUCAGUGUGCCAAGGUAGCCAAAGAAUUUGGGUUUACCCAUCUCAGCAGCGGAGAACUUCUUCGCCAGAGAAUUAAAAGUGACCCAGAAAAUGGACCUGUGAUUGAAGCCGAGAUGAAGGAGGGAGAGAGCGUUGCUCCAGACAUAACAAUGGAGGAACUUAAGAAAGCUAUGGCAAAAAGUGAAAAUAAUAAAUUUAUUCUGGAUGGUUUUCCUUUUGAUGAGGAGACUCGAGCUACUUUUGAAGCUGCUACCAACAUACAACCAGAACUUGUGCUCUUCUUUGAUUGUUCUGAGGAAGAAAGGGAGAGAAGAAUUUUAAGCAGGAAACAGCAGGGAAGGCCAGAUGACAAUCCUGAGACUGUAAGGAAGCGAUUUAAAAAAUUUCAGAAGAAUACUCUUCCUGUGGUUGAGCAUUAUAGAGCAAGAGGCAUAGUUUUGCAGGUAAAAUCAAUCGCAGUAGUAAGUUUUGAAUGAAACUUGAACUGGAGACCUUUCCUGGAUACGACCAUAAUAUUACUGAACUAAAACUUAUUAGUCAAUUAAUUGCAAUUUUAUAUUUGGUUAAGAGCAAAUGCUACGCACAAGAGAAAGGCACGUACCCUGAUAAAAUCAUGGCAAUUUUAUUGCCAAGCAUGUUAAAUGAUAAUUACUGGUUUUCUUUAGGUUGAUGCUGGAAAGCUAGAGGAGGAAGUGUUUAAGACUCUUAAAAGCAUUCUUGAACCCUCAACAAAGAUGCAAGCUGAAGAUGAAGCACCAACCAUUGAAGAACUUGAAAAGGAAAUAUCAGAAUUGUUAUUAUAAAAUAAAAUAGUAUUGUGUCAAUUUUCUAAGAAACAAUGAAGUGAUUAUAUUAUCACUCAUUUGGUUGAAUCUGAUUUGUCAUUAACUAUUUAACUAUAAAUAUGAGAGUAUUAUGUGCUUUUUUUACUUUUCAAUUUGGCAUCCCAAUUUUCAACAA
rnacentral:misc_RNA from 1 species